rnacentral:misc_RNA from 1 species
UCCAAAAGUCGACCUGUGGAAGUAUAAAUAUUCUACUUAUCUUAAGUGGCUUAUUUACAAAAUUACCUAUGCAAUUACACAUACAGCGUGUGUGUGCACUGUGCAGAUCUACUAAACUUUAUAUAUAAUCAUGUGUCUCUACGACUUUUAACUUUACAAGUUUAUAGUACAAGUUUCAACGGGAACGAAAUCAACGGAUAAGAUGUUUGUUGUGUUUGUCCUGCACUACUUAACAAAGAUUUAAAAUGUCAUAUAAAUUUUGUAACUUGUAACUUUAUUUUCUUGUGUAUCGCUGAUUUUGUUCAUAUUUACAACUUACAAACAAUAGAAAGACAUUGUACCUUUUCUUAUUUACACCGUCGUCGAUUACAAUAUGAAGGAUCGCAGUCGCAACUUCGGGUGUACAAAUAAAUAAAUGCUCUUAUUCUUCCAAUUUAACGAAAAUAAGGGAAUGUUAAUAUAAGUACAAGCUACCUAUGAAUUCUUUCUAAAGCUCAUAACGUAAAAAUAUAUAAGUUAUCACAACAGUCAAGAAAACAUCAUAUGUAACUUUAAUAGCGAAUCAAGUUGUGAAUCGUUUUAUAAGCAUGUCACGUCAUAAACAAUCGAAUAAUUGGAGAAACGAUUGUAGGACUAACUGGAGAAGUCAGGAUGAUGAACCAGGUCCUGCGAAUUAUGCCAAUUUUAAUGAACAGCAAAGUGAUGGAACAAGUAAUUCAAGGGACAGAGGUAGAGACUUUCCAUCGAACCGAAGAGGGAGGGAUAUCGGGAUGUUUUACAAAAACAGAAGAAGUGAUACAGGUGGCGGAAGUUCUGCCAGUUAUACCAAGCAACAAAGCGAUGAUGCAGGCCAUUCUAGAGGUAGAGAACGACAUCCUCCUCAUUUGAAAGGAAGAGAAAUUGGGAUGUUUUAUAAAGAACGAAGCAUGAAGAAAGAAAAAAAGGAAAAAAAACAGCAUGAAACUAAGGUAUUUAAAUUAAGGCCUGCCAUUGAGCAAAGAAUCCGAUCUCUGAUGGAAGAACCAAGGAGCUCGUACGACAGACAGCUUUAUGCAAGGGAUCAGAAUUUCUCCAGGAGUGAUAUUGAAUCUAGAUAUGAUCACAUCAACGACUCUCAGUUCAAGAGAAAAUUCCUCAAUAUUAUUAGUGGUAAUUUGCAAGAUAAUUUGGCAAAAUCUUUGUAUUCUGAACCAAAGUUGCGUAGAAAUGAAAGUAUAGACAAACAGUUGUUACACGAGUUGAAUAGAACUAUGGAAAGUACUCAGCACAAAAAUAUGUUAAAAUUUCGUGCUCGAUUACCAGCAUAUCAAAUGAGACACGAAAUUGUUGAUCUUAUUAAUAGAAACCAAGUUAUAGUUAUAAGCGGUGAAACAGGUUGUGGUAAGACUACUCAAGUUGCUCAGUUUAUAUUAGAUUACGAAAUUGAAUGUGGUAGAGGUAGUGUCACAAGUAUUGCUUGCACUCAGCCCAGAAGAAUAUCAGCGAUAUCGGUGGCUGAAAGAGUUGCUAGUGAAAGAGCGGAAACUGUAGGAAAAUCUGUAGGAUUUCACAUACGUUUGGAAAGGAAACUGGCUAGAUCUUACGGAAGCAUAUCCUUUUGCACCACUGGUAUGUUAUUGCAAUUCAUGCAGUCCGAUCCGGCUUUGAGAGAUUACUCUCACAUUAUUUUAGAUGAAAUUCACGAACGAAGUACACAAAGUGACUUUAUUAUUACUUUACUUAAAUCAGUCAUUCCUAAGAGGCCUGAUUUGAAAGUUAUUUUAAUGAGUGCGACAUUAAAUUCUGAACAAUUUUCCGCGUAUUAUGGAAAUUGUCCAAUGAUUCACAUUCCCGGGCUUACUUAUCCUGUUGAAGAAUUUUACUUAGAAGAUGCAAUAGCAGCAACAAGAUUUCAAUUUCCGGUGGAUCCCAAUGUCCCUGGUAAGGCCAAAGGCCAUGGAAAAAAAGCUAUGAAAAGAAGAGAAGCAUUGAAAAAACUCGAAGAGUACAAUAACCUCAUAAAACCAUACAUCAAGCACUUGGAAAGAUUGCAAACUUAUCCCUCUUUCGUGUUUAAAGAAUUGGCAAAUCCUAAGUGUGAGGAGCUUUCACUAAAUCUCAUUAUGGAAUUAACAAAAUACAUUUGUGUGACAAAAGGUCCUGGUGCAAUAUUAAUUUUUUUGCCUGGUAUAAUGGACAUUUCAAAAUUGAACAGAAUGAUGCUUGAGAGCGGUCAUUUUCCAAAAGAUAGGUACACAAUUUAUCCGUUGCACUCGAGAAUGCCGACCGUCGAUCAGAAACUCAUUUUUGAAGUGCCAGAGGAAGAUAUCCGUAAAAUAAUAAUUGCAACCAAUAUUGCUGAAACAUCCAUAACGAUAGAGGACGUUGUAUACGUUAUUGACAGUGGAAAAACUAAAAUGUCUAAUUUUGAUGUCAUGAAUAAUUUACAAACACUGGAAGCGGAAUGGGUGAGCUGUGCCAAUGCAAAGCAGCGCAGAGGUCGAGCUGGAAGAGUAAAACCGGGAGUAUGCUACCAUCUGUACACAAAAGCUCGCGCUCAAACAUUUGACGAAUACCCUCAACCAGAGAUGCUCAGAACUCGUUUAGAGGAAGUGAUCCUUCAAGUAAAAAUCUUGCAAAUUGGCAAAGCCCAUAAGUUCUUGUCCAGCGUUAUGGAUCCACCUAAUCCCGAGGCGAUCGAGCUUUCUAUAAAUUUACUGAGACAAUUGAACGCUCUUGACGAAAGAGAGAACUUGACUCCACUCGGCUAUCACUUGGCUCAGCUACCUUUAGAUCCUCGAACGGGGAAAAUGAUACUUUGGGCUGCGAUGUUCUCUUGUAUCGAUCCGAUAUUUUCGAUAGCUGCCAGUCUUUCGUUCAAAGAUGCUUUCUACUGUCCAAUAGGUAUGGAGGAAGAGGCUCGACAAAAGAAAUUGGAGCUGGGAAUGAACCAGUUUAGCGAUCACAUAGCUCUAGCUGAAGCUCUAAGGCGUUUCGAAAGCAUGCGGGGAAACGCGUGGGGUUUUUGUAGAGAAUACUUUCUCUCCUGGAACACGCUGAAACUACUAUCUGACAUGAAACAUCAGUUUUCAAAUUAUCUGUGCGAUAUGAAGUUUUUGAAUAGCAGGAAUCCAAAUGACGACUAUGCAAAUCGAAAUUCACACAACAAGUCGCUCAUCAAAGCUAUCGUCUGCGCUGGGUUGUAUCCAAAUAUCGCGAUUAUUAAAAGAGCAACAAAGAAAACAGUAAAGGCAAUAACAAUCGAAAAAGAACUCGUGAACUUGCACCCGGCUAGUGUGAAUGAUAAAAAAGCCGAGUUUCCUAGUCCAUACUUGACGUACUUCUUGAAGAGAAAAUCCACGGCGAUUUAUCUAUUUGAUACCACAGCUGUCAGUCUUUUGGCACUACUGUUUGCUUCUCCAAAUAGUUCUAUGAGAACACAAUAACUGCAAGAUUACAAUUGCAAACGACUUAUCUUUUAUGUGUGAUCUGUCGACGGCAGCAAUAAUACAGAAACUUCACGAAAAAAUGGA